GUGUUCUAAGGUUCGGAGGACAGUCUCAACGUAUUUAACGUAUUUUAAUACGUAAUACUUAACGUUAGUACGCGGACCUAGCCGAAAGAUUCUGUCCAGAAUCAUUCAAAAUUUUUGAAAAAUUAGUCAAAUCUGUGCUUGACCCGGAAGCUUUCAUAAAUGUAGUAGUACAGUUGGGUUGGGGAACGGGGAAGAGAGUAAGAUGGCGGAGGAGAAACAGCAGGAAAUAACACAGCGAGAUAUGGAGGGGGUGAACUGCCUCGCAUACGAUGAGGCUAUCUUGGCACAGCAGGACAGGAUCCAGCAGGAGAUAGCCACCUCCAAUCCCUUAGUGUCAGUCAGGCAGGACAUUUCUAUACUGAAGAGAGAGUAUGCACAAGAUGAUACUGUAUAUCAGCAAAAAAUAAAGGACCUGCAGAAAAAAUACUCGUAUAUCCGUAAGACAAGGCCAGAUGGGAACUGUUUCUAUAGGGCCUUCGGCUUCUCACAUCUGGAGUCAUUGCUGGAUGACAGCAAGGAGCUGCAGAGGUUCAAAGCAGUGGCUGCUAAAAGCAAACUUGAUCUGGUGAACCAGGGCUUUACCGAGUUCACCAUCGAAGACUUCCACAACACAUUCAUGGACCUGAUAGAGCUGUGUGAGAAGCAGCCGACUCUGGCCGAGCUGCUGGGCUGCUUUAACGAGCAGAGCAUGUCGGACUACGUGGUGGUGUACCUGCGGCUGCUGACGUCCGGCUACCUGCAGCGCCAGCACGCCUUCUUCCAGCACUUCAUCGAGGGCGGCCGCUCCGUCAAGGAGUUCUGCCAGCAGGUGAGCUUUAGCAGGCCGCUCCGUCAAGGAGUUCUGCCAGCAGGUGAGCUUUAGCAGGCCGCUCCGUCAAGGAGUUCUGCAGCAGGUCAGCUUUAGCAGGGCGCUCCGUCAAGGAGUUCUGCAGCAGGUCAGCUUUAGCAGGCCACUCCGUCAAGGAGUUCUGCCAGCAGGUGAGCUUUAGCAGGCCGCUCCGUCAAGGAGUUCUGCAGCAGGUCAGCUUUAGCAGGCCGCUCCGUCAAGGAGUUCUGCCAGCAGGUGAGCUUUAGCAGGCCACUCCGUCAAGGAGUUCUGCCAGCAGGUGAGCUUUAGCAGGGCGCUCCGUCAAGGAGUUCUGCCAGCAGGUGAGCUUUAGCAGGGCGCUCCGUCAAGGAGUUCUGCCUGCAGGUGAGCUUUAGCAGGGCGCUCCGUCAAGGAGUUCUGCCAGCAGGUGAGCUUUAGCAGGGCGCUCCGUCAAGGAGUUCUGCCAGCAGGUGAGCUUUAGCAGGGCGCUCCGUCAAGGAGUUCUGCCAGCAGGUGAGCUUUAGCAGGCCACUCCGUCAAGGAGUUCUGCCAGCAGGUGAGCUUUAGCAGGCCGCUCCGUCAAGGAGUUCUGCAGCAGGUGAGCUUUAGCAGGGCGCUCCGUCAAGGAGUUCUGCCAGCAGGUGAGCUUUAGCAGGGCGCUCCGUCAAGGAGUUCUGCCUGCAGGUGAGCUUUAGCAGGCCGCUCCGUCAAGGAGUUCUGCAGCAGGUCAGCUUUAGCAGGGCGCUCCGUCAAGGAGUUCUGCCAGCAGGUGAGCUUUAGCAGGCCACUCCGUCAAGGAGCUCUGCCAGCAGGUGAGCUUUAGCAGGCCGCUCCGUCAAGGAGUUCUGCCAGCAGGAGGUGGAGCCCAUGUCCAAGGAAAGCGACCACAUUCACAUCAUCGCCCUGGCCCAGGUCUUGAACACCUCCAUACUGGUGGAGUAUAUGGACCGGGGCGAAGGGGGUACGGUCAACCAUCACGUCUUUCCAG